AUUGAACGCUGGCGGCAGGCCUAACACAUGCAAGUCGAGCGAGCGGCGGACGGGUGAGUAAUGUCUGGGAAACUGCCUGAUGGCGGGGGAUAACUACUGGAAACGGUAGCUAAUACCGCAUACCAUCAGAUGUUCCCAGGUGGGAUUAGCUAGUGGGUGGGGUAACGGCUCACCUUGGCGACGAACCCUAGCUGGUCUGAGAGGAUGACCCGCCACACUGGAACUGAGACACGGCCCAGACUCCUACGGGAGGCAGCAGUGGGGAAUAUUGGACAAUGGGCGAAAGCCGGAUGCAGCCAUGCCGCGUGUGUGAAGAAGGCCUUCGGGUUGUAAAGCACUUUCAGCGGGGAGGCGUUACCCGCAGAAGAAGCACCGGCUAACUCCGUGCCAGCAGCCGCGGUAAUAC
rnacentral:rRNA from 1 species